AAACUUUCAACAACGGAUCUCUUGGCUCUGGCAUCGAUGAAGAACGCAGCGAAAGGCGAUAUGUAAUGUGAAUUGCAGAGCUCAGUGAACCAUCGAAUCUUUGAACGCACAUUGCACCUGCUGGCAUCCCAGCAGGUAUGCCUGUCCGAGCGUCUUAU
rnacentral:rRNA from 1 species